rnacentral:lncRNA from 1 species
GGAUAGAGGGGCAAGAGAUGUGAAGAAUGGAGACAAGACAGGUUAUUUCAAGCCGGGCAUGGUGGCGCACACCUUUAAUCCCAGCCCUUGGGAGGCAGAGGCAGGUGGAUUUCUGAGUUCGAGGCCAGCCUGGUCUACAAAGUGAGUUCCAGGACAGCCAGGGCUACACAGAGAAACCCUGUCUCGGGGGGGGGGGGGGGAAGACAGGCUAUUUCAAGUCUCGUUUAUUGAAAGGCAACUAUGGGUGUAUAAGCGCAGCUGGGGAGUGCCGCUGGAGACACGGAACCACAAGUCCAGGAUGUGCAGGAGAAAAACAGGGUGUUACCAGAGUGUGUUUAGCUGUGGUGGGCUGCUUGCAAAAACAUGAUAGGAAGACAAGUCUCUUGUCAGGGUGGAACGUCAGGGUGGAAAAGUACUAAUCUGUAAGUAAAUAACCCAAGAUGGAUGCAGAGAUGAUAGCCACUUUCUGCUAAGAGUCGGCUCCCAACACUGAAUUCUGAGACCCUAACCAGACUGUAACCUGACAUUGGGGCACUGUAUCAAUGUACUGUAAGUAAUGCUCCCUGAUAAUCCCCUGUUGGUUGGGGCUUGUGACUGGGCAGAAUGGAGGUCAGGACUGAGAGUUGAGUAUGAGCUCUUGAGAGAGAAGCCGGAGGUAAGAGUCACCAUUACAUGGGAUGGACCAUAAGAAGCCUGUGGCCAAGAGAAGUGAGUCCUGAGGAAGGGCUGGUGGAGCAGAAGCAGCCUGAGACACACCAGGUUGGCAGGUGAUUGGCAUUUGUGUGGGUUUUACAAGUGGAAGGGUUAGAAUAGCUCAAUGUGCCCAGCAUAAUGCCUACAACUUAUUAAUAAAGUAUAAUGUUUUUGUGUUGUUUACUUGAGAAUGCAUGGGCAAGAAGUGAGGUAGAAACUACCAAUAGAUGCUACGGAGUAAAAGGGGGUGUAAUAAUACUCCAGAAAAUGAUAGCAUUUAAUAAAUGGUUGUUACAUCAGCUACUGUAUCCACAAAAUCUAGUUCAAUGUCAUUCACUUGCAACUUUAAUUUUGGCCUCUGAUUAUUAACUGUUUGCCAGACACAUUUUUCAGUACUUCCAAAUGCUCCUGAUCUUUUUACUGGAUUGGCCUUGCCUUUGAUUUAAGGAAACAUUAACAGGUGAACACUCCUAUCACCUGUGUUAAAUUGCAUUUUUCUUUUUACAUAAGCCAUUCUUUUAAUUUCUCCUUUGAAAUAUACAGUGAAUCCUUGGGAGGUCAACUGCUUCUGAAUACCAUUUCUACUGUCCUUGAGGGCAAUGACCACACACUCCAGUAGCUACUUUAUAACAUUGAAUUUUGGGGAUAGUGUGAGAUGUUUAUCUCCGGCCAGCUUUAAAGCAACACUGUCUGCAGUAUCAUGCAUUAGAUUUGCAGUACUUAGUUGAGGUUUUUCUGCCUGCUUGUUAAUCUUUGGCUGAUAAGAGGCAAACAGAUCAUACUUUUUGCUGCAGGGCCAUGACCUAGGCCCCUCCAUUUUGUUUCCCAAUGGCAAAAAGUCGCUCUGUAUCUCUCUCUUGGCCCUAUACUCAUUUGUUCAGGGGCAACCCUUGCCGUAUCACCUGCACACUCCUGGAAAUCUAGGCCUUUCUUGUCUUUAGAAAAACUGUUGCCUUUAGAGAUGCCUUGUUUAGAAAUUUGUUUCAAAUGUCCACAUUUUCCACAAUUAAAGCACAGAACCUUUUAAAUUAAAGCACCAAAGACCUCUAGCUAUAGCUUGACCUAUUAGAUUGGCAUGGUACAUGUGAAAACCAACAUCAUUUAUAUUCUUUAUGCAUUUGUCCAUGGGCCCGUGCCUUCAGUGGUCUUCUCCUGUCUACUGACAAUAUCUUCUCUUGCUCAGUCUCCUCUCUAGCCCUACUCCGUCUUUCUUCCUACAUCACGUGUCUUCUCUGACUCUUCUCUCUCACCCUACUUUUCUCCUCUCUCUCCUAUCCUACUACAGUGUGUCCUGGACCCUAUUCCUCUUCUGCCAGCCUUUGCUGGCUUUUUAUUUCCUCUCCUGUUCCCACAAGACCAAGAGGAAACCAACACUAAAGGUCAUAGGGUUAAGCACUAAGUAUUUUCAGAGUCAGUUGACUAGCCAUGGGGGAUCCUUUAAGGGGCCAGGCACGCACAUCAUUCUACAGUUUCUAUCAACACCUACUUUGCAAGCCUUCACCUAGCAACUGAUCUUUUACUGUAUUCAUUCUGCUCGCUCUAUUUUGCUGUUCAAUAUUCAUGAUUUUUCCCCCUCUACCAUGUUAAUCAUUGCAACUGCAGACCAGUGUCUAGUACAGCUAUUACCAAUACCUUCCAAUCUUGGGGAAUAAUUUUUUUUUUUUAGUAGCUCAGUUAUUUAGGAAUUGUUUUGCAUCCCAUAUGAAAUCAUAGCCUUUUUAAAUGCCUUAGAUCUAUCAUUUCUAUAGGAUACCAUCCUAUCUUGUCAUAACCUUGUUCUAUAACAUUAGCAGGCACAUGCUGUAUGACUACUUAGAAAUUUGAUGAUCUCAUAACCCUGGGCCACUCCUCCUAUAACUCUGGAAGCACUGUUGGUUUGGCAUCAGCCCUUUGUUUUGAUCGGGUGAUUAUCAGGUUGUCUUCCUGCUUUUUCAGCUUUUCUCUGAGCAGACUGCCCCUCAGCACAGUUUUUCCUUCGUCUCUCCUGUGUGAAACUCAUUCUCAUGCUCACUCCCUGGGACUGAGCCUUUUUGUUUUCUUCCCCAGUGCUCCUUGCUUCUGAAGUGCUUCUCCUUCCACCUGCAACCUCUCCCAUUGCACUGCCAACUCUGCCACCCAUUCAGAAACAAAAGAGCAGAGUGACCUCCUCUCCCCCACGGUUGCCCCCCAUUUCAGCUGUUUUUGUUUCUCAUGGCUCUCUAUGUCCACUUGCAAUUAUUCUAACUACUUAGCCAUUCUUUCAAAAUUUUUGAAACAAAAUAUAUGAAAACAAAACAAAACAAAACACUAACGAUCCUCUCUGGGAGCAGAGUGGUGGAUAUUCCAGUGGUAGUAACCACAAUAAAUUAUUUGCUGGCCCCUUGUGUGUGGGGGGGGAAAUCUAUUCCUUCACUCCAUCUAGUUUAUAGCAUUUGGAAUCAAAUUUCCCAUUUUUUUAAAAACAUAAUCCCUUGUUGGGUGCCACUUAUAGCUGGUCUUUGCUACUUUGUGGCUUCUUUUUACCUCCCUUCAUUCCCCCUUUCCCAAUUCUCCCCCUAACACUAGAUAGGAAAGAAGAAAGGAUAGAGGGAAGAGAGAUCCCUGAAUUUAUUUUUUUCUUUGUCCAUGACAACUUACAAACUGUAACUAUCCUCCUUAAAUGACCAGCAAACACCUACCCCACCUCUCCAGGCCCUAGCAUUUAUUUACCCUUUGAAAAGUUCCCAGAAUCCAAAUAUCACACAGUCAUAGAAACUAUCUGCAGCUGGCAAAACCAUGCCUCUGCUAGAGCAAGAUAGUCAGCUGCUGUGGACAGUCUGAAGCAGCCUCAUAUCCCCACACCAGGGAUUAAAUGAAAGCACAUCCUUAUAAUACUAAUACUAAUACUAAUAAAGCCAAAUUCCAGAAUUUUCAUAAAGGCCACCACAAUAUACUUGUAAUCUUAGUUCUUGGGAGGUUGACACAGUGGAAUUGCAAGUUGCAGAGUAGCCUGGACUAUAUAUAGUGACAGCCUCAAUCAAAAGCAGGACAACAGUGACCUAUGAGGUCUAAAGAAAUCAAAUUAUUUGAAUCUUAUUAUAACCC